GAGAGAGAGAGAGAGAGAGAGAGAGAGAGAGAGAGAACAAAAAUGUCUGGAUUAUACAGUGAAGAGCCUCUGGGUGAGAGGAAGCCCAGCCCCUGGGCUGGAAAGUUCAGGUGAACAGUGACAUCAUCUGCCAGCGUGUUGCAAGCUCCUGGCCUGACUUCUCUCCAGUGGCUUUGAUGGGAUUCAAUGUGAUAUGGUCACCAGUGAUCAUUCUGUGUUUGUGUGGCUAAGCAAUCGAUCAGCUGGAUGGAUGAUGGCUUCACUCAUCCACAGGUUCCUGGAAGACCUCUAAUUUCCCGAGGACAAUUAUUUCAAUAGUCGGAUCGAAAAGGGAGCGAUACACGCUGAGGCCAUCUGAAGAGGUCACAGGCCAGAGAAGCUGGAAUACGGAGACUAAGGGCUCCAUGAAUAAGGGACAAGACAGGGGUGAAGAGAAAAUGGGGAGA